rnacentral:tRNA from 1 species
GCAGCGGUGGUUCAGUGGUAGAAUUCUCACCUUCUGUGAGACAGAUAUGGAUUCAAUUCCCUUUUAAUGCA